rnacentral:sRNA from 1 species
UUUGCUUAAUGAGUUUUCCCAUUUAUUGUUUUAAUAUUAAUUGAUAUAAAUCUUUAAUUUCCGCAGCCCAUCCAGGAAGAUAACAGUGAGCCGAUUACCCAUGAACAGAUUCAAGACGCGACCAUUUUUGACUCAUGUGGACUUAAAAUUAUUGUUUUACAAAAAAGAACUAAACGAAUGAACACACCAGUGCUGUCUGACUUGACUCCCUCACGCCCAUACGACUCCGGAAGUGAUUCGUCACAGGACACUUUUAGUAUAUCAACAAAUAAAACUAUUUAGGAUCAUUUACAUCUUUUGAGAACGAAAUCUAGUUUUUGUAGCUUUGUAGAUUACAAUACAGAAUCAUAAAACAUG